CCUACGGGUGGCAGCAGUGGGGAAUAUUGGGCAAUGGGCGCAAGCCUGACCCAGCAACGCCGCGUGAAGGAAGAAGGCUUUCGGGUUGUAAACUUCUUUUCUGAGGGACGAAGAAAGUGACGGUACCUCAGGAAUAAGCCACGGCUAACUACGUGCCAGCGGCCGCGGGAAUACGUAGGUGGCAAGCGUUAUCCGGAUUUAUUGGGUGUAAGGGGCGUGGAGGCGGGAAAGUAAGUCAGAUGUGAAAACUCAGGGCUCAACCCUGAGCCUGCAUUUGAAACUGUUUUUCUUGAGUGCGGGAGAGGCAAGCGGAAUUCCGUGUGUAGCGGUGAAAUGCGUAGAUAUACGGAGGAACACCAGUGGCGAAGGCGGAUUGCUGGACAGUAACUGACGCUGAGGCGCGAAAGCGUGGGGAGCAAACAGGAUUAGAUACCCCAGUAGUC
rnacentral:rRNA from 1 species